rnacentral:rRNA from 1 species
AUAGCUAGGACUACCGGGGUAUCUAAUCCCGUUUGCUACCCUAGCUUUCGUCUCUGAGUGUCAGUAAUGGCCCAGUAAGGUGCCUUCGCUAUUGGUGUUCUUUCGAAUAUCUACGCAUUUCACCGCUCCACUCGAAAUUCCCCUUACCUCUACCAUACUCAAGAUAAAUAGCUUCUUUUGCUGUUUUUGGGUUAAGCCCAAAGAUUUGACAAAAGACUUAUAGACCAACCUGCAGACGCUUUACGCCCAAUAAUUCCGGAUAACACUUGCAUCCCCUGUAUUACCGCGGCUGCUGGCACAGGGUUAGCCGAUGCUUAUUCCUCAAGUAACGUCAGAUCUUCCUCCUUGAGAAAAGAGGUUUACAACCCGUAGGCAGUCAUCCCUCACGCUGUAUUGCUCUGUCAGGCUUGCGCCCAUUGCA